ACGGGUGCGUAACACGUGGGAAUCUGCCCUUCGGUUCGGAAUAACAGUUAGAAAUGACUGCUAAUACCGGAUGAUGACGAAAGUCCAAAGAUUUAUCGCCGAAGGAUGAGCCCGCGUAGGAUUAGGUAGUUGGUGGGGUAAUGGCCCACCAAGCCGACGAUCCUUAGCUGGUCUGAGAGGAUGAUCAGCCACACUGGGACUGAGACACGGCCCAGACUCCUACGGGAGGCAGCAGUGGGGAAUAUUGGACAAUGGGCGAAAGCCUGAUCCAGCAAUGCCGCGUGAGUGAUGAAGGCCUUAGGGUUGUAAAGCUCUUUUACCAGGGAUGAUAAUGACAGUACCUGGAGAAUAAGCUCCGGCUAACUCCGUGCCAGCAGCCGCGGUAAUACGGAGGGAGCUAGCGUUGUUCGGAAUUACUGGGCGUAAAGCGCACGUAGGCGGCUACUCAAGUCGGGGGUGAAAGCCCGGGGCUCAACCCCGGAACUGCCCUCGAAACUAGGUAGCUAGAAUCUUGGAGAGGUCAGUGGAAUUCCGAGUGUAGAGGUGAAAUUCGUAGA
rnacentral:rRNA from 1 species